rnacentral:misc_RNA from 1 species
UCCGGUUUGACACCGGCAGUCUCGCUAGAGUCCUCGCCAUGACGCGUUAGCAACUAGCGACAAGGGUUGCGCUCGUUAAGGGACUUAACCCGACACUUCACAGCACGAGCUGACGACAGCCAUGCAGCACCUGUGCUUGUUCCACUCUUGCGAGUGUGGCUCCACUUUCAUGGAGUUAAUCCAAGCAUGUCAAACCCAGGUAAGGUUCUUCGCGUUGCUUCGAAUUAAGCAACAUGCUCCACCGCUUGUGUGAGCCCCCGUCAAUUCCUUUGAGUUUUAGCCUUGCGACCGUACUCCCCAGGCGGCACACUUACCAAUUUCUCUGCGACCAGAACGGGGUGAAACCCGCUCCGGUCUAGUGUGCAUCGUUUAGGGCGUGGACUAC